GGGACUUUUGCAGUCAGCUCCUGUGCUCCAUCUCUUUGUCAAUAAGCCUGUGCGCUGAGAGGUUCACAGGUAUGUCAGCUGGGGAUAUCACCUGGCCUCCUAGCACAGUUUGGAUAAACAUACUCCGUAAAACAACAAUGUAGAGUGCUGGUGUGGUUUUAUUUGCUUCUAGAGGCAAAAUACAGAGUGGGAAGCCCAGGAUUUGACACAGUGCUCCUGACAUGCUCCCAGUUUCUGAAUAGAAAAUAAUCAUGACCCUUCACCUGCUGACUGUACUCCUUCACCUUGUGCUGUUGCCUUUCUUUCCUGGAAGGGCACGCUGCUCCUCAUGUCCACCAUGUUGUCCAGUAGGAUCCUCAGAUAUUAUAAAAUAAGGAAGACUGCUGACUCAGUUAGCGACAAGCUGAAAACUGGCAGUUAGACAGUCUCACUUAGGACAGUCAAAGCCAUGGCCAAGAAACCUUACAAGUAUAAUAAAAAAAUUAUAUGCAUAAAAAAUUUUUUUAUAUGACUGAAAUAUGUGCCUAUAUGUGUGUCUAAGCAUAUUUAAAUACAAAUACUCAGUGUAGAUAAGCCCAAAAUGUUUAUGUGAGUUCUUAAGCAAAACUAUGACUGCUUAUUUUGAACGAAGCUACAUAUAAUCAUUGUUCCUAUUGCUGUUUUUCCUAUGCAAAUACUCUGUGCAAACAUAAUCUGUUCCCAAAAUCAGUAUCCUAACUUCACCAGAACAUCCUACUUUAAUUCUCCUAUCAGCAAGAGUGAACGAAUUUUACUGAUCAGUCUGUUAGAAAAAAAAGCCAAG